rnacentral:rRNA from 1 species
GACGAACGCUGGCGGCGUGCUUAACACAUGCAAGUCGAGCGGAAAGGCCCUUUCGGGGGUACUCGAGCGGCGAACGGGUGAGUAACACGUGAGUAAUCUGCCCUUGGCUUUGGGAUAGCCACCGGAAACGGUGAUUAAUACCGGAUACGACAACCCCCCGCAUGGGGUGGUUGUGGAAAGUUUUUCGGCCAGGGAUGUCCUCGCGGCCUAUCAGCUUGUUGGUGGGGUAAUGGCCUACCAAGGCUUCGACGGGUAGCCGGCCGGAGAGGGUGGCCGGCCACACUGGGACUGAGACACGGCCCAGACUCCUACGGGAGGCAGCAGUGGGGAAUAUUGGACAAUGGGCGGAAGCCUGAUCCAGCAACGCCGCGUGAGGGAUGACGGCCUUCGGGUUGUAAACCUCUUUCAGUACCGACGAAGCGAGAGUGACGGUAGGUACAGAAGAAGCACCGGCCAACUACGUGCCAGCAGCCGCAGUAAGAC